rnacentral:tRNA from 1 species
AGCAGCGUGGCUCAGUGGAAAGAGCCUGGGCUUCGGAGUCAGAGGUCACGGGUUGGAAUCCCGGCUCUGCCA